UAUUAUCUCUUUUCUCACAGGAUUAAUUGGAUGGCAUAGUAAAACAAUAAGCUACUAUGAUCUAUUUCAUCUUUUAUUUUCAUUUCAGCCACAAACAAGUUGCAGGUCAGUCCCUUUCAGCCUCUUCCACAGCUAUGGUGUUUAGGACAAAACUGUGGUAGGCUCAUAAAAAUAGGAGCAGUUGUGCUUGAGAUUAGUCUGAAAGAAUAUACCCAUGGCUCAGAACAGUACACUGAAACGUACUAAGAAAGGUAAGUAUGCAGCAAUAGAGGGAGUCACUAAAGAAAGAAGAUAAAUGUAUUGAAACUACUGUUCUGACACUAGAUUUCCAAAGCACCAUCUCAUGAUGUCGGCUGUGGGAAGGAAACAGUUUGUUAGAGCAUUCCUCCCCUCCCUAAUUAUGUAGUGACUUACAUUUACCAAUUGGUUCUUUUCAAUGUCAGAGAGCUGUACUGCAAGCCACACAACUUUACAUAUUCGAUUUGUUUACUACGUCCUCAUAAAUUCCACAGGCUAGAAUAAAUAGCUUUAUUAAAAUUGUUUUUCUGUGAAUUGAGGCUUUGUUGAGGCUUUUGGCUGAUACAUAAGCAUACCAUUAGGUUACAGAAAUGUGCAUCGUGUUUUUCAUUUUGUCUACCCUUUGCUAAGCCUGCUUGUCAUAGCUGCUUGCUGAUUAGACUUAAAUAGCUUCAAGUCAGCUUUUCAUCCUUGCGUCAUGCAAAGGCAAAUGAUUUUUGUUUUGUAUUUUUUUCCCCUGUGGUGUGCCAGCCUGCUUCAGAAACAUGCCAGCCCUUGCAGAGCACGGAAAGAAAGAGUUAUCAGGAGCCAGAGUUGCAUUCCAGAGUCGUGGGUCUGGAUGCAACUCUGGCUUGUGCUGGCUGCUAGUAUCUGUGCCAAAUCAAGUCAGGAUCAGCUUUCAUGCUGGUGGAUGUCAAACUGCUGUCAAAGGAACUUUAACAGCAGUUCUUUGCAUAACGGAAUCCUACAAACAUCAAGGAGUAUCUUGGAGUCUGGAUAAACACCGUGAAAUCCCGUCUCCACUGGGACUUUUUCCUGGAAAUCAGAGGAGGAGAACAGCCUCAAAGCUCCUGUUCCUCUGUGUACAUGCAUAUGUGCCUGUUUGGGGUCAUUACAAGCACACAUUGAAGAGGUGUGUGCACAGCUACUGAUUUCAAAGUAUGCCCAUGUGAUGGGAAGUAAAAGCUGGGAAGCAAGGAGUGAGAUGUUCUGACACCAUUCCACUACUUUCCCAGGAAACUGAAGUUGUGGAGAGCUAAGCAAAUGGAGGGAAGAUCUGUCUGUGGGGUAUGGCUGGAAAAAAAGCUGAAGUGUUCUACAGAGGAGCCUAAGAAGGUUGUCAGAUUGUCCCCUAAAAGGAGAAGGACAAUAGAAGAAUUCCAUCCAGCUAAAAUUUAUGUUAAUCAUGAGCUUAAAGGGAAACCUACAUCUCCAUCCCAGGUUUCAUCUGCAUUUCUAUGCUGAUGUAUCUAUGUGCAUAUGUAACAUGUGUAUAAAUAGUUCAGGUGUGUCUUCACUGAGUUUUGCUAAAAUUUGUCAGAGUGAGUGUCAUCUGGCUCAGGUGGUGUGCUAGUGUUUAUCUGGUCCAUCUCUACUCUCUUCUGUAGAAGAGCUCCCAAGUCAGGACCUCUGCAUUUUCUUCUUCAGUGCGCCAAUUCAAAGAAUUCACUAAGCUUAUUUGCAAUAAUCUCAUCCUUUCUCAGUUCUAUCUUUAUAUCAUGAAUAGCAAUUGAUAUUAUGCAUUGAUGAUAGGCAUUAGCAGGCUCUUCCUUUCUGAAAAGUUUGAAGAAGUAUUUAAAGCCAAUUUUGAUCCCAAUAUCUCAUUGCUCCUCAAACUCUUUUUUUGCCCUCCCAGCUACAGUUUCAAAUUUAAUCUGCUGGAGUUAAAGUCUUUUUCUUUAGUCUGCAUUUCAUUAUUUAAUAAAUAAAUAAAUAAAUAAAUAAAUAAGUAAAUAUUCUACAGACUCUCUUCUUAUUUCUUUCUGGUGCAUAGAAUUCCAGCUUUUGAGUGGAAACAUUUCUGGAUAAAUUGCUUCAAAUUUUCACUAGUUAAGUGAAAAUUCAGGAACUUAAAAAAAAAAAAAAACAACUUUAAAACAUAAGAGCACAACCAGCUCAUUAAUUAGUAUAUGAAAAUUCGUGUUAACAUUUAUGAGCAAACCUUACCUUUAACAAAAGAACUCUGUGGAAGCAGAAAAAGAUUCUAAAAACAAUCUAAAAGCCAUGAGCACAUAAAAUUAAAGAUAAUGUGAUUUAAAACAAUCAGUUGAAGGAAAGCGUGCAAAAAAACUUAAUGCACAACCUUUGUAAGGACUUUGUAAAGAACCUUCUAUGCAUUGUCUUUCUCCCAGCUUCACUUAUGUGUGUCAUACAGUAUAAAUAUAAUACUAUAGUAUUUACUAUAUAUACUAUAUUUUACAUCCAUACCAUUUUUGCAUCUAGAAAAAUGUUUCUAUAAACCAAUGCAGGGGCAUGAGUCAAAAUCAUAUUUCUACAUCUUCUACUUCAUCUGUGUAUGCAUAGAAGACUAUCAGCUGACCUCAUAUUUUUGUAGUACACUGAAUUAGUACCAUGUGUUAUGUAAAUUCCUCCAGAAGAAGGAAUAAUGCAGUGAAUGGCCCUUUAACACUGCAGAAAUAGUAAGACAGACUUUAUAGAAAUAGCUAUGCUAUUUUUGUCAUGCCAGAGAACUUGUGAAUACAUUUCACCAUAUCUACAAUAGGAUAUGCCUUAUCUGUAGAGUUUGAGGAUCAGGUCUCAGAAGAGAUCUGUAAAACAAUUAUGAAUUAGUUGCUGUCAAAAUGAAUAAUUUACACUAUGGCAGAGACAAAGACUCUGCUAAUGCUGAUCCACUUAUACCAGAAUAAGGACUUCUGUUUUCUGAGGUUGAAAGAUCUGAAUUUUCUUGUUGUCAGUGCUGGGGAACACACUGAUCAACUCUGCACAGAGAAAUUGAAACUGGCAAACAGUCAUAGCUAUGCCUGGAUAUUGCAAGAUCGGGGUAACCUGACUUCAUUACAGUGCAGAGCAAGUCCACACUUCUGUGCCCAAACCUAUGACAGAGCUGCAGACUGUAGGAUUGCAGCUGCUGAGGAGAACAGAAAGGGAAAUAAUAAUAGAAAAAAAAAAAAAAAACCCACACAAAACAACAACACAAAGAAGAGAAGCUUUUGCUGACUCUAGAAACUACUGAACUGGAUUAUAUUGGUUAACACAUCUUCAAAUAUUCUAACCCGUUCUCUUCUUA
ensembl:lncRNA